AUUGAACGCUGGCGGCAGGCCUAACACAUGCAAGUCGAGCGGAUGACGGGAGCUUGCUCCUUGAUUCAGCGGCGGACGGGUGAAUAAUGCCUAGGAAUCUGCCUGGUAGUGGGGGACAACGUUUCGAAAGGAACGCUAAUACCGCAUACGUCCCACGGGAGAAAGCAGGGGACCUUCGGGCCUUGCGCUAUCAGAUGAGCCUAGGUCGGAUUAGCUAGUUGGUGGGGUAAUGGCUAACCAAGGCGACGAUCCGUAACUGGUCUGAGAGGAUGAUCAGUCACACUGGAACUGAGACACGGUCCAGACUCCUACGGGAGGCAGCAGUGGGGAAUAUUGGACAAUGGGCGAAAGCCUGAUCCGGCCAUGCCGCGUGUGUGAAGAAGGUCUUCGGAUUGUAAAGCACUUUAAGUUGGGAGGAAGGGCAGUAAGCUAAUACCUUGCUGUUUUGACGUUACCGACAGAAUAAGCACCGGCUAACUCUGUGCCAGCCGCCGCCGUAA
rnacentral:rRNA from 1 species